UAGGGAAUCUUCCACAAUGGGCGCAAGCCUGAUGGAGCAACGCCGCGUGAGUGAAGAAGGUCUUCGGAUCGUAAAACUCUGUUGUUAGAGAAGAACACGAGUGAGAGUAACUGUUCAUUCGAUGACGGUAUCUAACCAGCAAGUCACGGCUAACUACGUGCAAG
rnacentral:rRNA from 1 species